GGUGAACGCUGGCGGCGUGCCUCAAACAUGCAAGUCGAGCGGGGCUAUGUAAUAUCGCAAGGUAGAACAUAGCCUAGCGGCGAACGGGUGAGUAACACGUGGGUAACCUGCCUGGAAGACAGGGAUAACGAUUCGAAAGGGUCGCUAAUACCUGAUAAUAUCCUUUCAUCGCAUGGUGAUAGGAAGAAAGGGGAAACCCGCUUUCAGAUGGGCCCGCGUCCCAUCAGCUAGUUGGUAAGGUAAAGGCUUACCAAGGCGACGACGGGUAGCCGGUCUGAGAGGAUGUACGGCCACACUGGGACUGAGAUACGGCCCAGACUCCUACGGGAGGCAGCAGUUGGGAAUCUUAGGCAAUGGACGAAAGUCUGACCUAGCGACGCCGCGUGAGGGAAGAAGGCCUUCGGGUUGUAAACCUCUGUCAUGGGGGAAGAAGGAAGUGACGGUACCCCAAGAGGAAGCCCCUGCUAACUACGUG
rnacentral:rRNA from 1 species